GUGAGUGUAGCUCAGCGGUAGAGCACUGGACUGUGGCUCCAGGUGCCGAGGGUUCAAAUCCCUUCACUCACC
rnacentral:tRNA from 1 species